CCUACGGGAGGCAGCAGUAGGGAAUAUUGCUCAAUGGGGGAAACCCUGAAGCAGCAACGCCGCGUGGAGGAUGAAGGUUUUCGGAUUGUAAACUCCUUUUGUUAGAGAAGAUAAUGACGGUAUCUAACGAAUAAGCACCGGCUAACUCCGUGCCAGCAGCCGCGGUAAUACGGAGGGUGCAAGCGUUACUCGGAAUCACUGGGCGUAAAGGGCGCGUAGGCGGGAUAGCAAGUCAGAUGUGAAAUCCUAUGGCUUAACCAUAAAACUGCAUUUGAAACUGUUAUUCUAGAGUAUGGGAGAGGUAGGUGGAAUUCUUGGUGUAGGGGUAAAAUCCGUAGAGAUCAAGAAGAAUACUCAUUGCGAAGGCGACCUGCUAGAACAUAACUGACGCUGAUGCGCGAAAGCGUGGGGAGCAAACAGGAUUAGAUACCCCGGUAGUC
rnacentral:rRNA from 1 species